UACAGAGGGGGCAAGCGUUGUUCGGAAUUACUGGGCGUAAAGAGCUCGUAGGCGGCUUGUCGCGUUGUUCGUGAAAAUUUACCGCUCAACGGUGAACUUGCGGGCGAUACGGGCAGGCUAGAGUACUGCAGGGGAGACUGGAAUUCCUGGUGUAGCGGUGAAAUGCGCAGAUAUCAGGAAGAACACCGGUAGCGAAGGCGGGUCUCUGGGCAGUAACUGACGCUGAGGAGCGAAAGCGUGGGGAGCGAACAGG
rnacentral:rRNA from 1 species